UACAGAGGUCUCAAGCGUUGUUCGGAUUCAUUGGGCGUAAAGCGUGCGCAGGCGGUUAUGCAAGACAGAUGUGAAAUCCCCGGGCUUAACCUGGGAACCGCAUUUGUGACUGCAUAGCUGGAGUACGGCAGAGGGGGGAUGGAAUUCCGCGUGUAGCAGUGAAAUGCGUAGAUAUGCGGAGGAACACCGAUGGCGAAGGCAGUCCCCUGGGCCUGUACUGACGCUCAUGCACGAAAGCGUGGGGAGCAAACAGG
rnacentral:rRNA from 1 species